AUUGAACGCUGGCGGCAUGCUUUACACAUGCAAGUCGAACGGUAACAGGCCGCAAGGUGCUGACGAGUGGCGAACGGGUGAGUAAUGCAUCGGAACGUGCCCAGUCGUGGGGGAUAACGCAGCGAAAGCUGCGCUAAUACCGCAUACGAUCUAUGGAUGAAAGCGGGGGACCGUAACGCCUCGCGCGAUUGGAGCGGCCGAUGUCAGAUUAGGUAGUUGGUGGGGUAAAGGCUCACCAAGCCGACGAUCUGUAGCUGGUCUGAGAGGACGACCAGCCACACUGGGACUGAGACACGGCCCAGACUCCUACGGGAGGCAGCAGUGGGGAAUUUUGGAUAAUGGGCGCAAGCCUGAUCCAGCAAUGCCGCGUGCAGGAAGAAGGCCUUCGGGUUGUAAACUGCUUUUGUACGGAACGAAACGGUCCUGGUUAAUACCCGGGGCUAAUGACGGUACCGUAAGAAUAAGCACCGGCUAACUACGUGCCAGCCGCCGCCGUAACAC
rnacentral:rRNA from 1 species